AUUGAACGCUGGCGGCAUGCUUUACACAUGCAAGUCGAACGGCAGCGCGGUCUUCGCCUUCGCGGCGAGUGGCGAACGGGUGGGUAAUGCAUCGGAACGUGCCCAUCUGCUUGGUAUAGCCCGGUGAAAGCCGGAUUCAUACCCUAAUCCCCCUUAGGGUGAAAGCCUGGGACCGAAAGGUCUUCGGCCCUUGCACCGGCCGAUGUCGGAUUAGCUAGUUGGGGGGGUAAAGGCUUACCAAGGCGACGAUCCGUAGCUGGUCUGAGAGGAUGACCAGCCACACUGGAACUGAGACACGGCCCAGACUCCUACGGGAGGCAGCAGUGGGGAAUUUUGGACAAUGGGCGCAAGCCUGAUCCAGCCAUGCCGCGUGCGGGAAGAAGGCCUUCGGGUUGUAAAGCGCUUUUGUUCGGGAAGAAAAGCUCUGGGCUAAUACCCCGGGGGGAUGACGGUACCGGAAGAAUAAGCACCGGCUAACUACGUG
rnacentral:rRNA from 1 species